CUGCUUUGGGUCUGGAGAGCAAACAGCCGCCUGCUCUGGGGGCCUCAGGACGUUGGGGCAUUUUUUUCCUACUGAACUUGAUCUAUUAAGAAGAGUAGAGUGGGCAUCAUGUCAGAGAACUAUAUCUGAUGCUAAGGAUUGGCAAUCUCAAGCCCCUAGCCUGCUUGCCAGCAGAAGCAUUACUCUCUGCAAGGAUUUUAACCCAACACUCUACUGUCCACAACCCAGGAAAGGAGAUAAGAUAGGACAAGGAAGUUAUCAGGUCCUGGGGACAUCUGGAGACACCCAAAUAUUUACAAGGAACACUUCAAAGGACUCGGCCCACUGAGAUGCACGAUUGCGAGAAAACUUUAACCACAGUUCUUCCUUGGGAUCUUCUUGCCUAAUGUCCCCUGCCUUCUUUCCUUCUCUACAAAAGGGACACACUUCUCUUUGUUUGGGGUAGGAGAUCUUAUCACACUCUCUGCCUGAACCCAGGUACAAUAAAUUCCAUGCCAUGUUGCUGUUGCACAA